rnacentral:rRNA from 1 species
GAUGAACGCUGGCGGCGUGCUUAACACAUGCAAGUCGAACGGAAAGGCCCUGCUUGCAGGGUACUCGAGUGGCGAACGGGUGAGUAACACGUGGGUGAUCUGCCCUGUACUUCGGGAUAAGCUUGGGAAACUGGGUCUAAUACCGGAUAGGACCAUCAUGUAGUUGUGGUGGUGGAAAGCUUUUGCGGUAUGGGAUGAGCUCGCGGCCUAUCAGCUUGUUGGUGGGGUAAUGGCCUACCAAGGCGUCGACGGGUAGCCGGCCUGAGAGGGUGUACGGCCACAUUGGGACUGAGAUACGGCCCAG